ensembl:lncRNA
GGCAUGCAAAUGACAAAAAUGAUGCAAAAUUUGCUCAUAAAAUUAAAAAUAACCGACUUCCUGUUGGGUUUCGGAUAUUGCUCCAAGAGUCUUUUUUGUAGGUACUGAUGCUUUACAUAUGUGUGCCAAUUUUCGUGCAUGUACGUGAAACACAGCUCGAGGGCUGUUGAUUUUUUUACGGUAGGUGGCGCUGUCGAGCCAUUUUGCCACACCCUCUUCUGAAACCUAUAUCAGAUGUAAAUUUUCACCAGGUAUGACGCGUGUGCAAAGUUUCAGGACUUUUCGAGCAUGUUUAGGCCCUCAAAAAUGCGAUUCAUUUUGGAGAAGAAGAAGAAGAAGAAGAAGAAGAAGAAGAAUAAUAAUAAUUAAAGCUGCAAGCAGCGAUGAACGGGCCCUCGCACCCGGGCUCACCGCCAGCGGGUGGCUUUUGUAAAACAGCGAACGGCGAGAUAUAUGCGUUUAAUGUGGUAAAUAUAAGAGAAAUAUGUCAAAGUCAUUUAUAUGUGCCAAUCUUCCUGCUGCCAGCUGGUGGCGCUAUGACCAUAACUGGAUUUUGGCAUGUA